GUACAUGUGGCUCAGUGGGUAGGGUACCGGCCCCACAUACCGAGGGUGGCAGGUUCAAACCCUGCCCUGGCCA
rnacentral:tRNA from 1 species